rnacentral:rRNA from 1 species
AUUGAACGCUGGCGGCAGGCUUAACACAUGCAAGUCGAGCGAGCGGCGGACGGUUGAGUAAUGUCUGGGACACUGCCUGAUGGAGGGGGAUAACUACUGGACACGGUAGCUAAUACCGUAUACCAUCAGAUGUGCCCAGAUGGGAUUAGCUAGUAGGUGGGGUAAUGGCUCACCUAGGCGACGAUCCCUAGCUGGUCUGAGAGGAUGACCAGCCACACUGGAACGGGGACACGGUCCAGACUCCUACGGGAGGCAGCAGUGGGGAAUAUUGCACAAGGGGCGCAAGCCUGAUGCAGGCAGGCCGCGUGUGUGAAGAAGGCCUUCGGGUUGUAAAGCACGUUCAGCGAGGAGGCGUUACUCGCAGAAGAAGCACCGGCUAACUCCGUGCCAGCAGCCGCGGUAAUAC